rnacentral:rRNA from 1 species
CGGACGGGUGAGUAAUGUAUGGGGAUCUGCCUGAUGGCGGGGGAUAACUACUGGAAACGGUAGCUAAUACCGCAUAAUGUCUGCGGACCAAAGCGGGGGACCUCCGGGCCUCGCGCCAUCAGAUGAACCCAUAUGGGAUUAGCUUGUAGGUAAGGUAACGGCUUACCUAGGCGACGAUCCCUAGCUGGUCUGAGAGGAUGAUCAGCCACACUGGGACUGAGACACGGCCCAA